GGAAGUUGAAAUUCUCCGGCAGCGCCAAAACAAAAAGGGUUUAAUUUGUUACACGCGUUUAAUUUGUGAAGUUUAAAGACGCCACUUUUAACUUUGUUUUGACACCGUCAGCCGGAAAGUCAUGGUGACAUCUACAGACUCUUGAGGACCGCCUCCUGUCUUCUCAGCACAGACAUCUCCAGGUCCAUUCUGUCCUGCAAGGUGCUGCCGUGCGGCGCGGGUGCAGACGGCGAGCAGGGGGAGCGGGACUGUUCUCCGGACGCCGCAGGGUAAUGAGCGCUGAACUGUACGCCGAGUGACUUGGGGACGGUGGAAUAAGAUGUUGUUUUGUGUCCCGGCGGAUCUGAAGCGUAGCCUGGGAGGACAGGAUCGGCCUGCUCGUGUUUACUUUCAAGAUGUUCUCCUGUGGGGAACGUUCCAUCUUUAUCGCCACUAAAAAGGACAGAAAAACAUAUUGGUUGCAAAAUUCCACAUGAGUAUUUUAAUUGUUGUUGCAUGAUAGGUAAGCACAAAAUAACAUUAUAUCGUAAAUUUUACUUUUAUUCUAAGCUUUGAAACCUCCGACUUACCAACCCUGUUUCCAUAUGAGUUGGGGAAUUGUGUUAGAUGUAAAUAUAAACAGAAUACAAAGAUUUGCAAAUCCUUUUCAACCCAAAUUCAAUUGGAUGAACUACAAAGACAAGAUAUUUGAUGUUCAAAUUCAUAAACUUUAUAUAUUUUUUUGCAAAUAAUAAAUAACUUAGAAUUUCAUAACUGCAACACAUGCCAAAGUAGUUGGGAAAGGGCAUGUUCACCACUGUGUUACAUCACCUUUUCUUUUAACAACACUCAAUAAACGUUUGGGAACUGAGGAAACUAAUUGUUGAAGCUUUGAAAGUGGAAUUCUUUCCCAUUCUUGUUUUAUGUAGAGCUUCAGUCGUUCAACAGUCCGGGGUCUCCGCUGUCCUAUUUUACGCUUCAUAAUGCGCCACACAUUUUCCAUGGGAGACAGGUCAGGACUGCAGGCGGGCCAGGAAAGUACCCGCACUCUUUUACUAUGAAACCAUGCUGUUGUAACAUGUAGCUUGGCAUUGUCUUGCUGAAAUAAGCAGGGGCGUCCACGAAGAAGACGGCGCUUAGAUGGCAGCAUAUGUUGUUCCAAAAGCUGUAUGUACCUUUCAGCAAUAAUGGUGCCUUCACAGAUGUGUAAGUUACCCAUGCCUUGGGCACUAAUGCACCCCCAUACCAUCACAGAUGCAGGCUUUUGAACUCUGCCUCGAUAACAGUCUGGAUGGUUCGCUUCCCCUUUGGUCCGGAUGACACAUUGUCGAAUAUUUCCCAAAAGAAUUUGAAAUGUGGACUCGUCAGACCACAGAGCACAUUUCAACUUUGCAUCAGUCCAUCUUAGAUGUACUUAGGCCUAGAGAAGCCGGCGGCGUUUCUGGAUGUUGUUGAUAAAUUGCUUUCGCUUUGCAUAGUAGAGCUUUAACUUGCACUUACAGAUGUAGCGACCAACUGUAUUUAGUGACAGUGGUUUUCUGAAGUGUUCCUGAGCCCAUGUGGUGAUAUCCUUUAGAGAUUGAUGUCGGUUUUUGAUAUAGUGCUGUCUAAGGGAUCGAAGGUCACGGUCAUUCAAUGUUGGUUUCUGGCCAUGCCGCUUACGUGGAGUGAUUUUUCCAGAUUCUCUGAACCUUUUGAUGAUAUUAUGGAGCGUAGAUGUUGAAAUCCCUAAAUGUCUUGCAAUUGCACUUUGAGAAACGUUGUUCUUAAACUGUUUGACUAUUUGCUCACACAGUUGUGGACAAAGGGGUGUACCUCGCCCCAUCCUUUCUUGUGAAAGACUGAGCAUUUUUUGGGGAAGCUGUUUUUAUACCCAAUCAUGGCACCCACCUGUUCCCAAUUAGCCUGCACACCUGUGGGAUGUUCCAAAUAAGUGUUUGAUGAGCAUUCCUUAACUUUAUCGGUAUUUAUUGCCACCUUUCCCAACUUCUUUGUCACGUGUUGCUGGCAUCAAAUUCUAAAGUUAAUGAUUAUUUUGCACAAAAAAAAAAAGUUUAUCAGUUUGAACAUCAAAUAUGGAUUUUUUGUAGCAUAUUCAACUGAAUAUGGGUUGAAAAUGAUUAAAUAUUAAAUACAGUUGUUAAUUCAAAUUAAUACUUGGGCCUACUGCGCUACUGUAUUUCAAUGUUGGAUAUGUUGAGAACUAAGUUUUUUCUAAGGUGUUACCGCUGGGUUUUGGGGCAUUUGCAGCAUUUUGUGCGUGUUUGUGGCGCUUGGACAAGUCUACUAACAAACAUGUAUCACCUGUUGUGUUGACUUUCAAUGAUAUCAAACGGCGUGGAGUCGUCUUCGUCUUGUUGGAGCGCCGCAGGGUUCAUGACGGAGAUGGCUAUUUGGGUCAGGGCGCUCAACUGAUCCAGAGACACGUCAUCAUCUUGGAAGCAUCCGACGGUCAGGGGUGGCCGGUGGGAGGAGGCAAGAGAGUCCGCAGCUGCGUCUUUGACAGGUGCAGGAGGAACGACGCAA